UACGGAGGGUGCAAGCGUUAUCCGGAUUCACUGGGUUUAAAGGGUGCGUAGGCGGGCAGGUAAGUCCGUGGUGAAAUCUCUGAGCUUAACUCAGAAACUGCCAUGGAUACUAUUUGUCUUGAAUAUUGUGGAGGUAAGCGGAAUAUGUCAUGUAGCGGUGAAAUGCUUAGAUAUGACAUAGAACACCCAUUGCGAAGGCAGCUUACUACACAGUAAUUGACGCUGAGGCACGAAAGCGUGGGGAUCAAACAGG
rnacentral:rRNA from 1 species